rnacentral:rRNA from 1 species
AGGGCACAGGGCGGAUGCCUUGGCACUAAGAGCCGAUGAAAGACGUGAUAAGCUGCGAAAAGCUUCGGGGAGGAGCAAAUAUCCCGUGAUCCGGAGAUGUCUGAAUGGGGAAACCCGCAUGAGAAGACCUCAUGCAUCCAUACGCCAAUCCAUAACGUAUGGAAGGGAACCCGGGGAACUGAAACAUCUAAGUACCCGGAGGAAAAGAAAGAAACAUCGAUUCCGUAAGUAGCGGCGAGCGAACGCGGAGGAGCCUAAACCGGUGUGCGUGCAUGCCGGGGUCAUGGACUGCAUUUAAGAUUCAGCGNNNNNNNNNNUGCAUGCCGGGGUCAUGGACUGCAUUUAAGAUUCAGCGAGGUUAACAGAACGGUUUUGGGAAAGCCGGCCAGAGAGGGUGAAAGCCCCGUACGUGAAAACCAAGCUGACUGAGCAGGAUCCGGAGUACCACGAGACACGAGGAACCUUGUGGGAAGUAAGGGGGACCACCCCCUAAGGCUAAAUACUACUUAGUGACCGAUAGCGCAUAGUACUGUGAAGGAAAGGUGAAAAGGACCCCGGGAGGGGAGUGAAAGAGAACCUGAAACCCUGUGUCUACAAGCUGUGGAAGUGCCAUAUGAGCACAACCGCGUACUUUUUGUAGAACGGUCCGGCGAGUUACGCUUACUGGCAAGGUUAAGUCCUCAAGGGAUGGAGCCGAAGGGAAACCAAGUCUUAACAGGGCCAGAGUCAGUAGGAGUAGACCCGAAACCGGGUGAUCUAUCCAUGUCCAGGUUGAAGCUGCCGUAAGAGGUAGUGGAGGACCGAACCCACAUCCGUUGAAAAGGGUGGGGAUGAGGUGUGGAUAGGGGAGAAAUUCCAAUCGAACCCGGAGAUAGCUGGUUCUCCUCGAAAUAGCUUUAGGGCUAGCCUCGGUGUGAGUCUUGCGGAGGUAGAGCACUGAAUUUCCUAGGGGGCGUCAAAGCCUACCGAAGAAUAUCAAACUCCGAAUGCCGUGUAGAUAUCACCGGGAGUCAGACUGCACGAGAUAAGUUGGGCGGUCAAAAGGGAAAGAGCCCAGACCUACAGUUAAGGUCCCAAAGUGCGCGUUAAGUGGAAAAGGAUGUGGGAUUUCGAAGACAACCAGGAUGUUGGCUCAGAAGCAGCCAUACAUUCAAAGAGUGCGUAAUAGCUCACUGGUCGAGAGGUCCUGCGCCGAAAAUGUCCGGGGCUGAAACGCGCCACCGAAACUAAGGAAUCCGUAAGGAUUGGUAGAGGAGCAUUGCAUAUGGGAAGAAGCAGUACCGUAAGGAGCUGUGGACUAUAUGGAAGAGAGAAUGCCGGAAUGAGUAGCGAGAUAGAGGUGGGAAUCCUCUAGGCCGAAUAUCCAAGGUUUCCAGGGUAAAGCUGAUCUGCCCUGGGUGAGUCGGGACCUAAGGUGAGGGCGAGAGCCGUAGCCGAUGGACAACAGGUUGAUAUUCCUGUACUGCAGUAUAACAGAACUGUGGGGACACGUAAGGAGAGCGGGAGCCGGGAAUGGAAAGCCCGGUACAAGCGAGGUACCAGUAUGGUAGGAAAAUCCGCCAUGCAAUGGGAAGACGUGAUGUGGAGUGAAAUAUAGUAACGAAGCCCGUGAGCCAUGCGUCAAGAAAAGCCGCUAUUGUUUAUAUUGUACCCGUACCGUAAACCGACACAGGUGGAUGAGGAGAGAAUCCUAAGGCCGGCGGAAGAAGUAUUGCCAAGGAACUCGGCAAAAUGGCCCCGUAACUUAGGGAGAAGGGGUGCCUGCGAGAGCAGGCCGCAGAGAAUAGGCUCAAGCAACUGUUUAGCAAAAACACAGGUCUAUGCGAAACCGAAAGGUGAGGUAUAUGGGCUGACGCCUGCCCGGUGCUGGAAGGUUAAGAGGAGAGGUUAGACGCAAGUCGAAGCUUUGAAUUUAAGCCCCAGUAAACGGCGGCCGUAACUAUAACGGUCCUAAGGUAGCGAAAUUCCUUGUCGGGUAAGUUCCGACCCGCACGAAAGGCGUAAUGAUUUGAGCGCUGUCUCGGCAAUACAUCCGGUGAAAUUGAAGUGCCAGUGAAGAUGCUGGCUACCCGCGCCAGGACGGAAAGACCCCAUGGAGCUUUACUCCAGUUUGGCACUGGGGUCCGGUGUUGCAUGUACAGGAUAGGUGGGAGGCUGAGAGAUAGUGACGUCAGUUGCUAUGGAGCCGCUGUUGGGAUACCACCCUUGUGAUAUUGGGCUUCUAACCAGCCGCCGUGAACCGGCGGUGGGACAAUGCCAGGCGGGGAGUUUGACUGGGGCGGUCGG